rnacentral:lncRNA from 1 species
GAUCCUCCACCGCCCGACACACCCGCGACCACCAUCACUCCCGCUCGCCGCCGCAGGCCACCUGCGGUCACCACCUCUAAGUGAGGUCAGGUCCCCAUCCUCCCUCUCGGUUGUCACAAAGAACAAAGGAAGGGCCCCGCCAGAGAUUUCCCCUUCUGCCCAUCGCCGUGUCUGCGCCAACUGCCGCCCCACCUCGCAGCGCCACCGACUCGCCACCAGAGAUCGUCGCAUCCCCACGAG